rnacentral:rRNA from 1 species
CUCGCCUGGGAACUACAAGCAUGAGCUUAAAACCCAAAGGACUUGGCGGUGCUUCAGACCCCCCUAGAGGAGCCUGUUCUGAAACCGAUAACCCCCGUUCAACCUCACCUUCUCUUGUUUACCCCGCCUAUAUACCGCCGCCGUCAGCUUACCCUGUGAAGGUUAUUAUAGUAAGCAAAAUUAGCACAGCUUAAAACGUCAGGUCGAGGUGUAGCGCAUGAGGAGGGAAGAAAUGGGCUACAUUUACUGAUCCAGUAUAUAACGAAUGAUGUGUUGAAACAAACAUCCGAAGGAGGAUUUAGCAGUAAGAGGAAAAAUAGAGCGUUCCCCUGAAACCGGCCCUGAAGCGUGCACACACCGCCCGUCACUCUCCCCAAAAUAUAAAUACAAACAUAAAUAAAGAGUACUAAUCACAAGGGGAGGCAAGUCGUAACAUGGUAAGUGUACCGGAAGGUGCACUUGGAAUAAAC